AAAAAAUGUUUUAAUUUUCCUUUUUGCACUCAGUGAGAUGUGAUUGCAGACGGCGCGUGAUUGGGCUCUGGUAGGACUGGUCAGUGGCAACCUGACUUCACUCUGCUCGUCACCGGUGGAACAGCCAUGGCACAGGAAUGCCGAACUUGAGAGCAGCUGUGGGAAACUAAUCUUUACAUGCAGGAAUGUCAGCGGAAAUGCAUGGACAUACAUCAGUGAGGUUUAGCUGGUGGAUCACAUUGUGAAAUCUGCAGCCAUGAAAGGCCUUCCAUUUAUUGCAUCCUUCAAAACGAAAUAUUAGCAUGGGAGGCUAAGCUGGUAUGUUGCCUUUGAGAGGCUCUUGUUGAAUUUAAU
rnacentral:lncRNA from 1 species